rnacentral:lncRNA from 1 species
GUGUUUCUUUAAGUUUACACUUAUAUAGCAGAUUAUUUGUGCUUAAAGUUCUUUGCAGAAUUUUGUAUUGAAAAAUGAUCAUUUUAUUACUCAAAGAACACUUGAAAGGAUGCAUAUAGAAAAGAUCCCAGUGAGCUAUUUCCAUAUGCAAAAUUUCUUUCCAUUUAUUUUGUGAUUUUGUGGGGUUUUUAUGAUAAGUAGCCAAAAAUAAUUUAUAAAAAUAUGGGCAUGAUUUCUGAUUUGUUUUCAAAAAGUCUAAAUUAUCGCAAGUAAUGUUGAUUUUCUUUUCACAGUUUUUGAUCUGGUCCUUCCAACUACUUGGGAUCAUAUGAUAUAUACCAUAGAAUUGAAGAAAAUUUGUAUCGAUAUCAUAUGUUUCUUUAAAUUGAUUAAAAGAGAGAAAUUCAUUGUUCUCAUUCAGUAAAUCAUUGACAAAAAAUAUUCCUGCCUCACACCAUUUUUCAUAAAAAAUAGUUUUAUUAUCAAUUUUUAAAAGUUUAUUAAACCAAAUAGGUUGGCCCAUUAAAUCAUUAUGGUCAUGGGAAGCAUUCCUCAGUUUAGCCCAAUUUAGAAGGAUGUCCUUCCAAAAUCUAUUAAAAUAUAUUGAAAUUUGUUCAAUACUAUCCUUAUUCAUCAUCCAUAUUUUAUCUGCCCCAUAUUUUCUAUACUUAUCAUUAAAAAGAAUUUUCCAAGGAGAAAGAUUGAAAGGGUCUAAUAAUUUAUAGAUCCAUGUCAUUUUUAAUGAAUAACAGAAGGAUUCAAUAUGAGGCAUCUUUAGUCCUCCAGUAUCAUAUGAUCCAAUUAGUACAUUUCUUUUGAUUUUAUCUGGUUU